GACAGAGGGCGCAAGCGUUUGUUCGGAAUUACUGGGCGUAAAGCGCGCGUAGGCGGAUCUGUUAGUCCGUAAGUGAAAUCCCGCCGCUCAACGGCGGGGCUGCUUGGGAAACGGCAGGUCUGGGGACCGGUAGAGGUCGGUAGAAUUCCGUGUGAGCGGUGGAAUGCGUAGAGAUCGGGAAGAAUACCCGGUGGCGAAGGCGGCCA
rnacentral:rRNA from 1 species